ensembl:miRNA
CGGCGACCGUCGGGCCCUCGGCGCCGGCCCGUUAGUUGCCCGGGCCCGAGCCGGCCGGGCCAGUGGGGUGCCG